AAGGUGGUCGGAGUAUUUGGGCUAUAACCCCAGAGGAGAGGGACAAACAUGAUCAGAAGUUUGACACCCUCUCGCCAGUACAGGGCUUUGUUACAGGGGAGAAAGCACGAAACUUCUUCAUUCAAUCAGGGCUUCCCCAGUCUGUGCUAGCUGAGAUCUGGGCCCUGGCUGAUAUGAAUAAAGAUGGUAGGAUGGACCGGCUG